rnacentral:rRNA from 1 species
UACGUAGGGUGCAAGCGUUGUCCGGAAUUAUUGGGCGUAAAGAGCUCGUAGGCGGUCUGUCACGUCGGCUGUGAAAACCCGAGGCUCAACCUCGGGCCUGCAGUCGAUACGGGCAGACUAGAGUUCGGUAGGGGAGACUGGAAUUCCUGGUGUAGCGGUGGAAUGCGCAGAUAUCAGGAGGAACACCGGUGGCGAAGGCGGGUCUCUGGGCCGUUACUGACGCUGAGGAGCGAAAGCGUGGGGAGCGAACAGG